rnacentral:rRNA from 1 species
GACGAACGCUGGCGGCGUGCUUAACACAUGCAAGUCGAACGGAAAGGCCCUGCUUUUGUGGGGUGCUCGAGUGGCGAACGGGUGAGUAACACGUGAGUAACCUGCCCUUGACUUUGGGAUAACUUCAGGAAACUGGGGCUAAUAUCGGACAGGAUAUCCUGUACCAUGGUGGGGGUUGGAAAGUCGCGGCGGUUGCGGAUGGACUCGCGGCUUAUCAGUUUGUUGGUGGGGUAGUGGAAGACCAAGGAUUUGACGGGUAGGCGGCAUGAGAGGGUGAACGGCCACAAGAGUACUGAGAGAGGGAGCAGUGGCGUACGGGAGGCAACGGGGGGGAAUAUUGCACAACGGGCGGGAGUGCGUGACGAAGGCGCCGCGGGCGUGAAGACCGCCUGUGGGUUAUGAACAGCUUUCGCCUGAGACGAAGCGGGAGUGACGGUAAUGGAUAAAGAAGCACCGGCUAACUACGUG